GACGAACGCUGGCGGCGUGCUUAACACAUGCAAGUCGAACGGAAAGGCCCUGCUUUUGUGGGGUGCUCGAGUGGCGAACGGGUGAGUAACACGUGAGUAACCUGCCCUUGACUUUGGGAUAACUUCAGGAAACUGGGGCUCAUACCGGAUAGGAGCUCCUGCUGCAUGGUGGGGGUUGGAAAGUUUCGGCGGUUGGGGAUGGUCUCGCGGCUUAUCAGCUUGUUUGUGGGGUAGUGGCUUACCAAGGCUUUGACGGGUAGCCGGCCUGAGAGGGUGACCGGCCACAUGGGGACUGAGAUACGGCCCAGACUCCUACGGGAGGCAGCAGUGGGGAAUAUUGCACAGUGGGCGGAAGCCUGAUGCAGCAACGCCGCGUGCGGGAUGACGGCCUUCGGGUUGUAAACCGCUUUCGCCUGUGACGAAGCGUGAGUGACGGUAAUGGGUAAAGAAGCACCGGCUAACUACGUG
rnacentral:rRNA from 1 species